UUGCCCCUUUGUUACGUGCAGAACCCAGUGACAACCCCAAAUUUGCUCUGUCAGCUCUAGAACCCACUGAGCACCCCAAAUUAACUGCAGAACCUACCGAAGAGCCUAAACAUCCCCCAUGAAGUCUAGAACCCACUGAUGGCCCCAAGCCCGCUUUGUUAGAUCUAGAACCCGCUGACGAGCCCAAAUUAACUCCAAAACCCACAGAUGACCCCAAGAUUUCCCCAUUAACUCCAGAACCCACUAACGACCCCAAGCUCACUUUGUUAGCUCUAGAGCCCAGCGAGAACCCCAAAUUAAUUCUAGAACCCACUGAAAACCCCACAUUCCCCAUCAAGUCUAGAACCCACUGACGACCCCAAACCUACCUUCUUAGCUCUAGAACCCACUGACAAGCCCAAAUUAACUCCAGAACCCACUAACGACCCCAAAUUAAGUCCAGAACCCACUGACGACCCCAAACCCACCUCGUUAGAUCUAGAACCCACUGACGACCCUAAGCUUUCCCCAUUAACUCCAGAACCCACUGACGACCCCAAAUUAACUCCAGAACCCACUGACGACCCCAAACCCACCUUGUUAGACCUAGAACCCACUGAUGACCCCAACAUUUACCCAUUAACUCCAGCACCCACAGACAACCCCAAACGUUCCCCAUCAACUCUGGAACCCAUUAACGACCGCAAGCCCACUUUGCUAGCUCUAGAGCCCACUGAGAACCCCAAAUUAACUCUAGAACCCACUGAAGACCCCAAACAUUCCCCACUAAGCCUAGAACCCACUGGUUACUGCAAACCCGCCUUGUUAGCUCUAGAACCCACAGAGAACCCCAAGCGUUCCCCACUAACUCCGGAACCCCCUGACACCCCCCCCCCCGCACCGUUUGCUCUAGAACCCACGGACGGCCCCCAACCCCACUUCGCCUGCUCUAGAACCCACUGCGGACCCCAGAUAAACUCCAGAACCCACUGGCGACCCCUCCCACCCCCAUGACGUCAUCCAGGGCCCCCCCACACACCCCCCUUCCCUU
rnacentral:lncRNA from 1 species